rnacentral:rRNA from 1 species
GACGAACGCUGGCGGCGUGCUUAACACAUGCAAGUCGAACGGAAAGGCCCGGCUUUUGUGGGGUGCUCGAGUGGCGAAGGGGGGAGUAACACGUGAGUAACCUGCCCUUGACUUUGGGAUAACUUUAGGAAACUGGGGCUAAUACCGGAUAGGAGCUCCUGCUGCAUGGUGGGGGUUGGAGAGUUUGGGCGGUGGGGGCUGGACUCGCUGGUUAUCAGCUUGUUUGGGGGGUAGUGGUGUACCAAGGCUUCGACGGGUAGGCUGCCUGGGAGGGUGGACGGGCACAUUGGGACUACGGUACGGCCCAGACUCCUACGGGAGGCAGCGGUGGGGAAUAUUGCACAAUGGGCGGAAGCCUGAUGCAGAGACGUCGCGUGCGGGAUGCCGGCCUUCGGGUUGUAAACCGCUUUCGACUGUGACGAAGCGUGAGUGACGGUACCGGGUCAAGAAGCACCGGCUAACUACGUG